rnacentral:rRNA from 1 species
UGCAUGUCUAAGUACAUGCCGUAUUAAGGCGAAACCGCGAAUGGCUCAUUAAAUCAGUUAUGGUUCCUUGGAUCGUACCUUACUACUUGGAUAACUGUGGCAAUUCUAGAGCUAAUACAUGCAGCAGAGCUCCGACCCUCUGGGGACGAGCGCUUUUAUUAGACCAAAACCAAUCGGACCUCGUGUCCGUCUCUUGUGGUGACUCUGUAUAACUUUGGGCUGAUCGCACGGGCCCGUCCCGGCGACGUAUCUUUCAAGUGUCUGCCUUAUCAACUUUCGAUGGUAGGUUACGCGCCUACCAUGGUCGUAACGGGUAACGGGGAAUCAGGGUUCGAUUCCGGAGAGGGAGCCUGAGAAACGGCUACCACAUCCAAGGAAGGCAGCAGGCGCGCAAAUUACCCACUCCCAGAACGGGGAGGUAGUGACGAAAAAUAACAAUACGGGACUCUUUUGAGACCCCGUAAUUGGAAUGAGUACACUUUAAAUCCUUUAACGAGGAUCCAUUAGAGGGCAAGUCUGGUGCCAGCAGCCGCGGUAAUUCCAGCUCUAAUAGCGUAUAUUAAAGUUGUUGCGGUUAAAAAGCUCGUAGUUGGAUCUCAGUUCCAGACGGGUGGUCCUCCUUACGGUGGCUACUGCCUGUUCUGAACAGCCAGCCGGUUUCUCUUGAUGAUCUUCACCGGUUGUCUUGGGUGACCGGCAAGUUUACUUUGAAAAAAUUAGAGUGCUCAAAGCAGGCGUGACGCCUGAAUAAUGGUGCAUGGAAUAAUGGAAUAGGACCUCGGUUCUAUUUUGUUGGUUUUCGGAACACGAGGUAAUGAUUAAGAGGGACAGACGGGGGCAUUCGUAUUGCGACGCUAGAGGUGAAAUUCUUGGACCGUCNCAAGACGAACUACUGCG